ACGAGCCAUGCUGUUACUCAAACAGUCCUCCAUGGUUGGCGCUGAUGUACUUGCUGUAUCCAUUCUUGGUCAGAUCGUUCUGUUACGUCAAGAACGAGGAUACAAUUUGCAAGUAAAACUGUUUAUUGAAAGUCAAAAUGGAAGGUGAUAGAUCCGGGUGAUGCAGGCGGUGGCACAGGGACUUUGAUGGUCAGACGUGGCGUGAUGGAUGAAGUGCAGCGUGCUCUGAUGACGGAUGACGGGAACCAGACACAUAGACGAUCCAACAAGACGUGAAACCGGAACACAGGAACUGAAGACGGGACACGAGGCACGGAAACAGGCUCAGACAACAUUGACCUCAUAAAACGAUCUGACAAAGGAGAUGAGAAGGUGGUAAGUAUUUAUAGGAGGUGAGAUGAGUGGCAGCUGGUGAUGAAGAGUGAUCGCAGCUGGAUACUGAUCAACGGUAACGAUCCGGACACACCCACUCACACACAUGUAAACAACAAAGCACGAGACUAGAGAGAGACAUUGGAUCUAUGAACCGUGACAAUAUUAUGUACGUAACCACACAUUAGACUAUCAUGUUUUAAGCACAUAUUAUGUAUGUCUUUCUAAUAACUAUUGAAUGACUUUAAGGUUAGUCGUGUUUGGUAUGUAUGAGUUUGACAUUUCUAGCUUGAAACGUUUCUUCCAACUGAUUCUUUGUCAAAUGUAUCAUAUUCUGGUUAUAGAAAUCACAUCCAAAAUUAUACUUUGCAAGAGUGUGUAAAAUUCAGACCAUGUGACUGAUAACAUGCUGAUUUAUGAUGGAAGGAACAACCCUAGCUAAGAUAAUAGCCUAUCUAAUUGGUCAAGACAUCAGAUGGGAUGUGUCCAAAAAGCCGAGUUUAAAACCUCAGGACACCAUCAAAUCGUCCCUUCUUCCCUUCUCUUCUUCUUCUUCUUCUUCUUCUCGCCACCGCGUUUUGACGCUGUUUUAGCGCUCUUUGAGCGUGCUCUGGCCUACAGGCCAGUUGCUACUUAACACCACGAUGAGGAGAAAAACCACUUAGUCCCGUUACUCAUUUAAUUCUUUUACUUUAGUUUCUUUUCUUUCCGUUGAGUCUCGUGUUCAAAAGUUAAGUUUGCCGCAAAGUCCAGCUCCGACUGCACCCGCUUCAAACUUCAACCAGCAACUGACUCCAAGACCAUCCUCAGCCAACACCCAACCAUUGGCUUCCCAAGACAUCACUUCAAAGACUACUGAACUUCCAGCCAAUCACCAAUUCGGGAAAACCCCUUUCCUGCAAUGACGACGACAGAAGGGAAUUCCUGUAACCAAAGGCAACGCAAGUAAAACAACUCCAGAUUCUGGCUGAACUGGUGCAUUUAAUAUAAAAUUUAGCCUCAUUGCGAAACUCAAUGCGAGGGUUAAUUAAGUGAUUGAUGGUUGUUCAGGUCUAUGCAAUAGCACAUAUUGCUAUAAACUUGGGAUUUCACAUUCUCAUUCUCUAAACUCAUCCUUUCUCUCUUUUUGCAACGUGUGAAUGUGUGAAUGCGUGUGUUCAUGUUAGAUUAGUUUAUGUCUUAGGUUUAUAUAAAUAAAGUCGUAUUUAUAUUUAAAAGAGAAGUAUCUUGUGUUUUGUGCUUACAAGUUAAUGUCUUAAUCUGCCGAUCUUGUUACUGUGCUUAUUAAUAGUGUGUUCACUAUAUUUUGGAUUUUAAUAUCCAGUGCAGAGUUGAUGUUAUACGGCUCGUUCAGUGAAUCGCCGGCCGACUCAGUGAUCAGCCGCAGAACAGUGAUUCUGUUCAAAUUACCUAUAAAAUCAUAAAUGAUUCCCUUUGAGCUAAAUUAAAAUUAUAUUUAUGUAUCAAACCCUACAAGAGACUUAUGACAUAUCUAUCAUCUUCAGGAAGUGAUGGUGUGAAGGUCAGGAGCUCCAGAGCAGCUGUCGUGUGUUUGGGGCUGCUGUGUGUUCUUCUGCUGACUGCAGUCAUAGUGCUGUGUCCACAUCCAUACAAACAACACAAAUUACACAGAAGAGAGACAGCAGCUACUAACCAACGUUACCAACUUAAUUCAAUUAAACGUACAGUUCAAUCAAGAGAAAAAUGAAUUGUCAAAGGUUAUUCAAGAUGGAUGGAUUUACUAUCAAUUCAGUUUUUACUACGUUUCCAAUGAGACAAAGAACUGGACUGAGAGCAGACGAUACUGUACAGAGAGAGGAGCAGAUCUAGUGAUCAUAAAGAACAGCGAAAAACAAGAUUUAGUUAAGAAAAUAUCCUGUGGAAGUGAAGCCUGGAUUGGUCUGACAGCCAGUGAUGAAGAGAGCAAAUGGAAAUGGGUUGAUGGCAGCACACUGAGCUCUGGGUUCUGGAGACCUGGAGAGCCCAAUAGACAUUUAUAUGAGAACUGUACUAUCAUCACACUUUCAGGAGUAUGGGCUGAUUAUCUAUGUACUAACGAUUCUAAAUGGAUCUGUGAGAGGAAAAUUUUAGGUCCCACUUUAUAUUAGGUGGUCUUAACUACUUACAUCAAAAAAUAAGUACAAUGUACAAUGCUAUUGAGGUGGGAUACAGAUUAGGUUAGGGACAGGUUUGGUGGUUUGGGUAGGUUCAAGGGUGGGUUAAGGUGUAAGGGAUGGGUCAACAGAGUAAUUAUAAAUGUAAUUACAGAAAUUAUUUACAGAUGUAACUACAUACAGGUAUUUUAAAAAAAUAUAAGUACAAUGUAAAAACAUGUAUGUACACAAUACGUGCAUUGUAUCAAAUGAUUCAUUUAAAUGUAAGUACAUAUUAGUUAAGGCCACCUAAUAUAAAGUGGGACCAAAUUUUAAAAUGACUAUUAUAUGCAAUACAUGUUUAUUUUCAGCCUAAAUAUGCUGGAACACUUAAACACCCAGAUCUUUUGAGUCAUUUUGACAUGUACUAUUUUUUUACCCUUACUACCAUUAGCCUAUAAGGUAAAGUACUUUUUUAUUAUUAAACUCUUAAAAUCAUUAACUUACACAUUUAUCAUAUUUGUCAUCUUGCUCUCAACCCUUUAACUCCCAUUAACAAGUAACAGGCAUUAUCUGCUGUUGCUGCUGUCAUGUUAUGUUAUGGACAGAGACACUUCAAUUGGGUUUUAUUUUGAGUUGGGAGUUAGUUUUUAGAAUUAGAAUUAGCAAUCACAAAUUUUAAUUUAAUUAUGAGUUUGUAAUAUUCAGAAGUUAUUUCCAAACCUGUAAUUUGAAGACUAAUAUGGAAAUGUAUCCUCGAUUGAUAAUAUCACAAAUGCUCUGUGAAUUUUUAUGAAUGUGAAAGUGUAAAUUAUAUUUUUUAAAUAGUUUGUAAUUUGUAUCUUUUGUGAUUUUCUUAGUUUUACAGUUGUGUCAAG